rnacentral:lncRNA from 1 species
AGCACUAAUGGAAGUUGUUCGUCGGGGGUUUUCUGGUCGUCGUUCCGCUAUGGUGUUUAGCCGCGAAGGUCUAUGACUUAGUCUUCCUCGUGCGAGGUAGAUCAGGCUACACAACGGUGGUUUCUCGAUCCUUUUUCAUCGUAAGGAUAGUGAGAAACGAAAGCCGUAAGUUGGCCGGUGGCUAAGUCGGGAAUUCGACGUUGGCCGCCGAAGGAUAUUGCGGUCUUUGGUCAGG